CGAGGGGUAACGGAAGUAGCUUGCUACUAGACGACGACCGGCGCACGGGUGAGUAACGCGUAUGUAAUCUUGCCUUGUACAGGGGGAUAGCCCAGAGAAAUUUGGAUUAAUACCCCAUAGUAUAACUGAAUCGCAUGAUUUGGUUAUUAAAGCUCCGGCGGUACAAGAUGAACAUGCGUGACAUUAGCUAGUUGGUAAGGUAACGGCUUACCAAGGCGACGAUGUCUAGGGGUUCUGAGAGGAUGAUCCCCCACACUGGUACUGAGACACGGACCAGACUCCUACGGGAGGCAGCAGUGAGGAAUAUUGGUCAAUGGACGCAAGUCUGAACCAGCCAUCCCGCGUGAAGGAUGACUGCCCUAUGGGUUGUAAACUUCUUUUAUACGCAAAUAAACCUACUUUCGUGAAAGUAGCUGAAGGUAGCGUAUGAAUAAACACCGGCUAACUUCGU
rnacentral:rRNA from 1 species